CCAAGUACCUGCUAUCAGACACAGAAGCACUGGCCAGAGAAAUCGUAUCUUUCUGUAUGGGCUGUCACACUUCUGUAAUGGAAAGCACUGACUUAGCUAAAUGGUUGCUAUGAGCAAAAACAAACAAUUUUGGUUUCAGGUAGAAACAUUGGGGUCUUUCUCAUCAUUAUAUACAUCAUGCGCCUGGUAACUGUGUUUCUUUUUUUCCUAUGCAUGGGGGUCACUGACAAUGUCUUCUUGAGUCAAAACGGCUUUCAGAAUAUAACCUAUGGAGAACCUGCAGACAUAUCAUGUGAGGCUUCUGGAUAUGACUUCACUAGUUACUGGUUGGCCUGGCUAAAACAGGUUCCAGGAAAAGAACUUGUGUAUAUAGGACAUAUUGACCCAGCUGAUGGCUACACCAGAAUCACAGAUUCAUUUUGGUUAAGAGUUGAAUUAAGAACAGAAAAAGAAAACAACAUGGGCUACAUGGAAAUAAAGAAUGUUCAGUUUGAAGAUACUGCUGUGUAUUACUGUGCUCGAGGACCACAGUGUUCAGGUUACUAGUGUAGAGUGUUACAAAUACCGGUCUGUGGUUUCCAUACAAUUUGAGAUUCAUUUUCAGAAAGCUAGAAGAUAAAGUAGGGUUACAAAGUCAAUA